AUCCAUUAGCUCUAAAUCCAGCAGAGCUUUCACACUCCCUUUUUGAAUCAAGGAAGAAAACCUGAGUUUGAACAUGCAAUGGAACAGUGCACAACUUCAAGAGCAGAUCCUAGGCAGUAAGCACGUGAGAUUUCAAGGCAAACAACAAUGAAAACCGACAACAAAACUGGGAUCGUGAUGGAAAGCUUAUGAGAAAAAGGCCAGUCUGCAGUUCGGGACAAAACAGUGAGUUUAAUUCUUUGUUGUGCUUUCCCUAGUUCAUUUGGAUUUUUAAUCAAAAAUAAAGCCAAAGACGGAGGAAAGAUGGGCUGCACACCUUCUCACAGUGAGAUUGCUAAUACUAUUGCAAGAAGUGGUCUUAAGGCUUUGAAUAAACCCAAAAGUAUUUUGCGUAUUGAUCCAGGAGAGAAAGGAAUCCCUCUGCUGGUUAGAGGUUCAUCUUGCUACUAUAUUGAUGAAUUCCACCAAUAUGAGAUCCAGAGGAAAGAAAAGGAAGAUAAACUAUCAGAGGAGGACAAAAAUGAUCAUUUGCAGUUAUAUUCCAAGGCUCAUUCAGGUCCCCUGAUUUCCAGGGAAGACAAAAAAAUUGAGAGGACAGCCACAGGUGCUGAAGUUGUUAUGUCCGAACUGAUUGAGUCUCAAAAACACAUCACUGAGGCCAUACAGAUCAGAAAGCAAAGCUCCUGUGAAUCAGAAGCAUCAGCUUUCAUUUGGGAUGACAAGAAUGAAAGCAAUGCAAAGCAAAUCCCAAAGAAAGGAAAGAAGCAAAAAAAUCAUAAGCUGGCAAAGCAAGGUCGACCUAGCAAAAGUAAAGAAAAGUCUGUUUUGGCCCCGUGUGAGACAGAGAAAAAGGUAGAUUUCCCAGAACUGCUUGUUAAGGCUCAUCAGAGUGCAUACGCCUACUUAAAUCCCAACCUCUCCAAGUAUGAAUCUAUACUUCACAUGGCCAACCAGGCUACCCAAACUCAGCUCUUCCUACAGCAGAUGGUAACCUUUUUGGUACUUCGCUUUGAUGAAAUCAACCAGCUCUUGGAAGAAAUUGCCAAUGAUGGGGAAAAUCUUCUCAAAGAUGUAGGUGGGAAUCUGGCAUGGCCAGCAGAAAAAGGUGAUUUGAAGGAGCACCCUGAUCUCCUGCAACAACUACUGCAGUACACAGUCAAUAAAAUGCAGUUACUGAGUGGGACACUGGCCUCCCUCACCUCCGACGCCCUGCAGGAGACAUGCAGCUACCUGCAGUCUGCUGCAAGCACCUUGGAAGGAAAACUGAAAGCAAAGCAAAGCUUUGAUGAGCGCCUGCUACAGACGGUAAGGCUGCUUGAAGCCUCAACAGUGGGAUCCUCCCCGUCCCAAGGUGAUGACAGGACUUUGUAUUCUGAGGACAGUGGCAUUGGCGUGGACAAUGAAUCCCUCAAAGAGUUCAGUGCUCUCAGCCAGCAUGGAGGACAAGCAAGCUGUGAUUCCUGUGCACAUGGACAUCUGUCUCAAAAGCAUGCCAGAACAGUGGAGCACGUGCCUGAUGGGACAGUGUCACCGGGCACAGCCGCAUCCCAUGACUGUGCCCUUGAAAGGCAUUUUAAAGAUAUAUUUUAUUCAUCUGUGCAGAGCAGGGAAGCGACUUCUUGUCAGGGUAGAGUACCAGGAGGCAUUUCUACCAUGCCCCAAUAUGCAAGCUUGAGCAAAAGCCGUUCCUAUAACUCCUUCCAGUCUAACUCUACUCAGGAAGGUGAACAUUUCAAAAUCUGUGAAUCAAUAGAUUUUCCUUCUGAUGAUGAUGAUGAUGACGAUGAAGGGAGCACCCUGGGGGAGGAUGACGACAACACAAGUUUAUCAGAAAUGGGGAAGGAUGUUCUGCCAAGGAGGUCCCUAUCUUCGCCUGCACUUGCUGAUAACACACAAAGGCAGUCCACCAAGAGGACAGAGAACGCAGAGACAGAGGAGAUUAUUCUGAAGAUGAAAGAUGCCAUCAGUGAAAAAAUUAAGUUUGUCCCAGCUAAAUCCAGGCGUAAAGAAUGGAUAGAGGAUGAGAGUGGAAGAACAGUCCUAACAACAAGGCCCAGUACAGCAACGGGCAGCCAGAAAACCUUCAGGAAACAGCAACGGUCCAGGUCAGAGGAGUCCCUCAGGAGCCAGGCAGAGGACCCGACCCUCCUAGAGCUUCAGAGAACUCAAAAAGAGCUCAGCAAAAGGCUGGAAAUGUUUUAUGGAAAGAAGGAUACAGAUGACAACCCAGAGCCUUGGAAGUCAAGAACAGCACCUUAUCUGCAGGAUGAGCAACUUAUGUCUAGGUCCUCCAGCAAACUGAAGGCGUGCCUCUCAAAAAAUUUCAGCAUCCUGCCUAACCAGGAUAAAGUCCCUUUGUUCACGGUUGAUCAAAAUCCUGCCCAUCAGCUGGAUGAAAAAAGAGGCAGGAAGCCUUUAAGAGCUACUGUGCCCACCCAGGAGACAUCAGGAGGCAAAGAAAAGGAGCCUCCUGGAGCCCAAACGCUCAGUGGCAGCAGCUGUGCCCCCCGGCAGACUGUCAAAAAGCUUAUCGAAACGUUCAGUCCUACUGACAACCUUGUAAAAGAUGCACCUUUAAGAUCUUUAGGACCAAUAAAGUGCAUCAGAAAAUUUGGACUUCCAGUCAUCCCACCCACCAUUCCCUUUCAGAGAGGCCUGGCACCUUUAAAUCUUAAGCAUCGUAUUUCCCCAGUAGAAGACACAAACCCUUUGAACACCAAUGGAGUUUCUUCUGGCUUCCCAAAUGCCUUUCCUCCUGCACCAGCUACAGAAUUAAGCAAGAAGGACACAAAGGAAGAGACUGGCGAAGACAUUGAGAGCCUGCCACCACCACCACCUGAAAUGUUAACGGACACUUCUUUUGACUUAUCUGAGCCUGAAGAAACUGCAAGAAUAGAACAAAACUCUUCAGAAGACGCCAAAAAGCCCACCAAAACAGAACUUCAUGCUACUAAGAGAUCACAAGUUUCCCCAAAAAUGAAAGCCUCCCUUCAGUCCAUUGACUUAUUGCCAAGUAAAAAUAUCAGCGGCCCCAGUGCAAUUGCUAAUAAAGGUCUAAGGAAUACUGGAGCAGGGGAUGAGAAACUGCAGAGGUACUCUCUGGAGCUGAACCCUACCAACGUGCACAUCCCUAGCCAGGAGGAGAUAUUGGCAACCCAAAGAAAAGAGGCUGCAGAUUUGUACAAGCAAACCCAUAAAAUUAUUCCUCUUCAAAAUCCCAGUGGGGUUUCAAAACCACACAGCAACAGCUCAGAGAGCAAAGAGCCCAAUUCACCUGCGUCUUCAGUGCAAUACCAGAAGCAUGGUUCUCCCGAUUCGCUCAGGAGAAACGAAAAAGGCUCAGCAUUUGCCAGGAGGGUCUCCCCAACGAGAACUCCUCCUUCUUCUCCACCAACUGAGAAACGGCUUUUCAGCCCCCCAACACACCACAGACACUCUCUGCAGGCUUUUAGCAACCCGCAACAGAGCUCACCCACCACGCAGAGGAAACCCAGUCCCCCCUCUAGCCCCAGGGUGCCCAGCCCACCCUUGCAGAAGAAGCUGCCCUCUCCACCACCCCAGCGAAAACCACUCAGCCCUCCCGCGGGACACAGGCAAAGCUCGCCGACGCCGCACCGGCUCCUGGGCUCCCCAGCCUACCGCCAAGAUGCAAGCCCCCCUCCAUUCCCCACUGCCCCCUCCCCACCAACCUCCCCAUCCCGCUCCUACAAGGGGCCAAGAGCUGGGCUGGAUGCUGGGGACGAGCACCAGCUCUCCUCCUCCAAAAGGGGCAGCAAUGUCCGUUCGAUAUUUUGCCCGGCCACCUCUUCCUUAUUCGAAGCCAGACCUCCACUGGUACCCACCAAAGCCGCUGUGGAGGUGACCAGCCAGCCUGAAGCUUCACAGAUUUCCCAAAAGAGCAGUCUGCUUUUCCGGCAGCCUGGAGACCGGACUAGAAAGCUGUCCCUGAGUGCUGCCAGUCCUCAGCCUUUCGUGAGGAGAAGUUUCUCUGACCGCCGACCAGGGGUCCAGUUUCGUCUUCCAGCUCCCCUAACAGCUGGCAGCGAACCUGCGCUUAACCAAGCAAGCUUGGAGGAGAGCCCUAGAAAAGCAGGCGACUCUUGGAACAGCCCUUGCGUUCCUGAAAUCAAAGAGUCCAACAGAUCUGCUUCCCACCCCGAGCUCUACGUUGUGGGCCAGGGGCUGCAGAGGGACUGACAGCAGAAGCACCCACGAAGGCAGAGGCACGAGCAACACCAGAGGCCCCAGAGGAAGGAAGCAGCCUUACCCAAGCCUCCAAAAACACGGCUUCAUUUUUUUCUCACAAGGAAACAAUAUGAUGGCAUUGCAUCUAAAAACCCAAACUGGUCCCAACAACCUAAUGAAAUAUCAGCAGAGUGGUAGCCACCUGCUUCUCCUUUGGAUUGCAUUUUAUGGUUUAACUCGAAGAUCUACGCUGAGCAAAAGAAACACUUUGCAGCUGGUUUUCAUGGUGUUGGUAUCUGGGCACUUCACUUUCACACAGGAUUUUUAACCCUUCCUGCCCACCUUCAUGAUGGGGGAACUGAGGCUCAUCUUAUGCUGUACAAGGAACACCUUUGGAUACUGAACUCCUGAGUUUUAGUCUAGUGCCUUAGUCACAACCAUCCUUCAAUAAGCUCAGUGCCAUUUUACACCACAGAUACAAGGAAACCUUAAUUGUUAUGUUUAAGGUGGGGGUUUGAAUAUAAAGAAGUAACUCACCGUGAAUAGAUGCUUUGGAUUGUCAGGGGUUUGUGAGCUUGAGGUGGCAGAGCAGCCAUACCCAUAGUGAACAGCCAGGACAUGUCAACAGGUCCACCUUGUAAUCACACAGGCAGAUGCACCAUCCCCUAUCAAGUUCAAAAUCACCAGGGAGAUACUGCAAAGAUCAUCAGCAGAGCAAACUCUGCAUGCCAAUCUUCUCUUUCAUCAGAAGUGUAGUUCUCUCCCAACUGCAUAAAAAUACAAAUACAUUUUUGCAUGGAUUUGGGGGUUGUCUGUUCUGCUGGCAGUAACCACCCAGAAUAGAAACAAACCAGAAACAUGGCAGCAGAAAACCAGUACUUUGCACACCUAAAUGUAGCUUUGAAGGUGAAAACAUAACAGAGUGGGAGGACAGCUUCUGCUCAGCUACUACAGUCAUUUUAUCUCUUUAUGGUUUUAUGCUGAAAUUUCCCAGCAUCCAUGAUGGGUGAUAAAAGAAAGUAUUUAUUCAUACCCCAAGCACCAAAUUCUGUGGUGCAAGAGCUACAGCAGCACAUGGAACAACACUUAAGCAAUCAAGCUGGAAACGUCCUCGCACGUCUGCUAGCUGGACAUGGAGUCAGCCAAAGCCUCUUUCCCCAAAAACCAGGCUCCCCUGAAGAUGUGGUACAUGAGUUGGCAUCCUACCACAGCAUCUCCCCCAGCUUUGACUGAGGCCGUGGUCGUCAGGAG